AGUUUAUACCUUGGCCGAGAGGUCUGGGAAAUCUUGUGAAACUCCGUCGUGCUGGGGAUAGAGCAUUGUAAUUAUUGCUCUUCAACGAGGAAUUCCUAGUAAGCGCAAGUCAUCAGCUUGCGUUGAUUACGUCCCUGCCCUUUGUACACACCGCCCGUCGCUCCUACCGAUUGAAUGAUCCGGUGAAGUGUUCGGAUUGCGUCGACGAUGGUGGUUCGCCGCCGUCGACGUCGUGAGAAGUUCAUUGAACCUUAUCAUUUAGAGGAAGGAGAAGUCGUAACAAGGUUACCGUAGG
rnacentral:rRNA from 13 species